AUUGAACGCUGGCGGCGUGCUUAACACAUGCAAGUCGUGCGGUAACAGGCGUAGCAAUACGUGCUGACGAGCGGCGAACGGGUGCGUAAUACAUGGGAAUCUGCCCUUUAGUGGGGAAUAACCCGGCGAAAGCCGGGCUAAUGCCGCAUAAGAUCUUCGGAUGAAAGCGGGGGAUCGUAAGACCUCGCGCUGAUGGAUGAGCCCAUGUCGGAUUAGCAGUUGGUGAGGUAACGGCUCACCAAGGCGACGAUCCGUAGCUGGUCUGAGAGGACGGCCAGCCACACUGGGACUGAGACACGGCCCAGACUCCUACGGGAGGCAGCAGUGGGGAAUAUUGGACAAUGGGCGAAAGCCUGAUCCAGCGACGCCGCGUGUGUGAAGAAGGCCUGCGGGUUGUAAAGCACUUUCGAU
rnacentral:rRNA from 1 species